rnacentral:lncRNA from 1 species
CCCACGCGGCGCAGCUCCCAAAGUUGCAGACAGCCCGGCGAACCGCGCAAUGCGCUUCUUCUGCCUGCAGCAGAGAAAAGGAAAGAAAACUCCGCAGGGGCUCCGUUGGCUUCUCCACGAGUGACAACCAUGUUUUCCCAGAUAGAAGACCGGAGCCCUGCUCCUUUGCGAUCCGCCGAGGGCUGCAGAGAGCAUCCUCAUCCAUUUGGGCACCCCUGCCCAGGAAGAGCCCGGCCAUCCCUUUCCGGACUGGAUCCUUAAGAGGUGAAUUUUCUUCCGUGGAUUCCGAUUUGCUCCGUCUGACCAGCCUAGGCAAUCCAGCAUCGCGUGGUACCAGUGCCGCUGGGCACACUGGCUUCACGCCGGCUCCGCCUCACCAGCAAGCGCAUUCCCAGAUAAAACACUAACUCAGAGAAGAAAUUUAACUGCAAAUUUGGUUAAUGACCAUGGAUUCCUAAUGAGAAGAAAAGCUAGACACUGAGAGUUUAGAAUAAACUCAAGAAUCUUAAAAAUUUUCCCAUGGAACUGCCUUUGCACCUCUAUAAAAAAUUAAUUGACCAUAUGCUUAUUUCACCAACUAGAACUUCCAAUAAAACAUUGAAUAGAAGUGAUGAGAGUGGAUAUAUUUGCCUUGUUCCUGAUUUUAGAUGAUAAACAUUUUGUCUUUCACUUUAGAUAUGAUGUUAGUUCUAGGGGCUUUUUGAAGAUGAGCAUUAUUAUGUUGCAAAGGUUCCAUCCUCCUUCUAGUUUGUGAGGAAAUUUUUAUCUUAAAUGGACAUUGAAUUUUAUCAAAUGCCUUCCCUGCGUCUAUUGAUAUGACCACAUGGUUUUUCUUAAGUCUAUUAGUAUGGUGAAUUACACUGAAGAUUUUUGAAUGGUGAACCAGACUUGCAUUCCCCCAAAUAAACUCUACUUACUUAUGAUGUAUGGUUGUUGAGGGUUUUUUAAUAUUAUUCUUUUAUAUUGGUUCUCCUCUAUGUUUUUAUGUGUUUAAUUUAUUUGAUGUCUGCUCUCAUUUUAUUAUUUUCUUCCUUCUGUUUGCUUUUGCGGUGGUCUGCACUUAUUUUCUAGUUUAUUAAUGUGAAGGUUUUUCUUCUUGAUUUAUAUUUUUGUUUUCCAGUGUAAGGAUUUUAGUGCUAUAAAUUUCCCUCUAAGGACUGCUUUAACUGCAUCCCAUGAAUUUUAGUAUGUUAUAUUUUUACUUUCAAAAUACAUUCUGAUUUUCUUUGAGAUUUUCUUUUUGACCCAUAUAAUCUGUAAAACCAUGUCAUUUAAUUUCCUGGAUCCAAUUUUUUAUUACAUUAUUAUUUUAUUGAGGAUUUUUUAGUAUGCUUUUGUGAGAGAUAUUGGUCUACAAUUUUCCAUUCUUGUACUAUCUUUGUCUGGUUUUGGCGUCAGAGCAAUGCUGGCUACAUAAAAUACAUUAAGAAAUAGUUCUAUUUUGUGAAAGAAAUUGUACAAAAUUGGCAUUAUUUCUUCCAGAAAUGUUUGGGAUUUCAUCAAUAAAAUCAUCUGGGCCUGGAGGGUUUUUUUGGGACCAUUUUUAACUAUGAAUUCAAUUUUAAAAUAGAUAUGGGACUCUUGAGUUCUUGAUUUCUUUUUCUUUAAAUCUUUCAAGAAAUCAGUCCAUUUUAUCUAAGUUGUCAAAUGCAUGUGCAUGGAGUUGUUCAUAGUAAUCUCUUAUUAUGCUUUUAAUGUCUGUGGGGUCUAUAGUAAUAUCUCUUCUCUCAUAACUAAUAUUAGUAUUUUGUGUCUUCUCUCUCUUUUUUUUUUUUUUUUUUUUUUUUUUGAGACAGAGUCUUACUCUGUUGCCCAGGCUGGAGUGCAGUGGUGCAAUCUCGGCUCACUGCAACCUCCACCUCCCAGGUUCAAGCAAUUCUCCUGCCUCAGCCUCUCAGGUAACUGGGAUUACAGACGUACACCACCAUGCCCAGCUAAUUUUUGUAUUUUUAGUAGAGAUGGGGUUUCACCAUGUUGGCCAGGCUGGUUUCGAACUCCUGACCUCAGGUGAUUCACCUGCCUUGGCCUCCCAAAAUGCUGGGAUUACAGGCAUGAGCCUGGCCUUGUGUCUUCUCUUUUUUGUUCUUCAUCAGUCUUCUUAAAAAUUUAUCAGUUUAUUUGUCUUUCCAAGGUAUUAUUUAUUGUUUCUCCUCUAUUGUUGUUAUGUGUUCAAUUUAUUUGAUGUCCACUGUCAUUUUUAUUAUUUUCUUCCUUCUGCUUGCUUUUGGUGUAGUUUGCACUUAUUUUCUAGUUUAUUAAUAUGAAAGCUAACCUUAUUGAUUUAUCUUUUUUUUUCAGUAUAAGGCUUUUAGUGCUAUAAAUUUCUCUCUGAGGACUGUUUUAACUGCAUUCCACAAAUUUUAGUAUAUUUUUAUUUUCAAAAUACUUUCUGAUUUUCUUUGAGACUUCCUCUUUGACUCAUGUAAUCUUUAGGACUAUGCCAUUUAAUUUACAAAGAUAUAGAGUUUUUUUCAGGUAACUUUCUUAUGUUGAUUUUUUGAUCAAUUUAUGGUCAUAGACUAUGGUUUGUAUGAUUUCAUUUAUUUUAAUUUAAUAAAUUUUUGGUGACUCAAAACAUGGACUAUCUUGGUGUAUAUUUCAUGUGCACUUAAAAAUAUGUAUUCUGUUGUUGAUUAAAGUGUUCCAUAAUGAUAAUUAGAUUAAAGUCUUGGUAGUGUUGUUCCAGUCUUUUAUAUCCUUGGUGAUUUUCUACAUACUUUUUAAAUAAUUACUGAAAGAGGAAGGUUAAAGUCUAUAAUUGUGGAUUUGUCUAUGUCUCUUUUCAGUUCUGUUACUGCCUGUAUUAGGUAAAACAGAGCUUUUAAAGUUGUUAUUAAAUGCAUACACAAUUAAGAUAGUAAUGUCUCAUUGAUGAAUUGAGCCUUAUAUCAUUGUUUAAAGUGCUUCUUUCUUCCUGGUAGUUUUCCAUGUUCUGAAGCCUAUUCUGUCUGAUAUUAAUAUAAGCACUCCAGCUUUUUGUAUUAGUGUUUGCAUGGUAUGUCAUUUUUCAGGCUUUUGCUUUUAACCUAUCUAUAUCAUUAUAUUUCAAGUGGUGUUUUUGUAGACAGCAUAUAGUUAUGUCCUGGUUUUAUCAUCAAUGUGACAAUCCCUGUUUUUAAUACAAAAACUUUUACAUUUAAUGUAAUUAUUUAUAUGGCUGGAUUUAGGUCUAUAUAUUAUUAUUAGUUGUUUAAUAGCCCUUCUUUUUUCUUUUAUUCUUCUGGUUCCCUUUUUGCCCUUUUUUCUUUUCUCUUGGAUUACAUGAAUUUUUUUAUCUGUUGGUGUUUUACUAUACCUCUUCAUACACACACACACACACACACACACACACACACACACACACACGAAUAGUUAUUCUAGGCAUUAUAGUAUACAUACUUACCUUCUUUUGAAUUAUUACCUAAAAUGUAAACUGAGAGUCAAUAUUUUACCCUUUCAGACAAACUAUUGAAACUUUACAAUCCAUAACUACUUUUACCUCCCCCAUAUUGUAGUUGUGACAUAUAUUACAUCUAAUGCAUAGAAAAAAUUGCAUAGAAAAUU